AGCCUGAUGCAGCGACGCCGCGUGAGGGAUGGAGGCCUUCGGGUUGUAAACCUCUUUCGCCAGUGAAGCAGGCCUGUCCCUUUUGUGGGUGGGUUGACGGUAGCUGGAUAAGAAGCGCCGGCUAACUACGUGCCAGCAGCCGCGGUAAUACGUAGGGCGCGAGCGUUGUCCGGAAUUAUUGGGCGUAAAGAGCUCGUAGGCGGCUGGUCGCGUCUGUCGUGAAAUCCUCUGGCUUAACUGGGGGCUUGCGGUGGGUACGGGCCGGCUUGAGUGCGGUAGGGGAGACUGGAACUCCUGGUGUAGCGGUGGAAUGCGCAGAUAUCAGGAAGAACACCGGUGGCGAAGGCGGGUCUCUGGGCCGUUACUGACGCUGAGGAGCGAAAGCGUGGGGAGCGAACAGGAUUAGAUACCCUGGUAGUCCACGCCGUAAACGUUGGGCACUAGGUGUGGGGGGCCUUUUCCGGGUCUUCCGCGCCGUAGCUAACGCAUUAAGUGCCCCGCCUGGGGAGUACGGCCGCAAGGCUAAAACUCAAAGGAAUUGACGGGGGCCCGCACAAGCGGCGGAGCAUGCGGAUUAAUUCGAUGCAACGCGAAGAACCUUACCAAGGCUUGACAUGUGCCGGUCGGCUCCGGAGACGGGGUUUCCUCCUUGUGGG
rnacentral:rRNA from 1 species